AGCGAACGCUGGCGGCAGGCCUAACACAUGCAAGUCGAACGCCCAGCAAUGGGAGUGGCAGACGGGAUAGUAACACGUGGGAACGCGCCCUUCGGUUCGGAAUAACUCAGGGAAACUUGAGCUAAUACCGGAUACGCCCUUACGGGGAAAGAUUUAUUGCCGAAGGAACGGCCCGCGUCGGAUUAGCUAGUUGGUGAGGUAAUGGCUCACCAAGGCGACGAUCCGUAGCUGGUCUGAGAGGAUGACCAGCAUCACUGGGACUGAGACACGGCCCAGACUCCUACGGGAGGCAGCAGUGGGGAAUAUUGGACAAUGGGCGCAAGCCUGAUCCAGCCAUGCCGCGUGGAUGAUGAAGGCCCUAGGGUUGUAAAGUCCUUUUAACGGGGAAGAUAAUGACGGUACCCGUAGAAUAAGCCCCGGCUAACUUCGUGCCAGCAGCCGCGGUAAUACGAAGGGGGCUAGCGUUGCUCGGAAUUACUGGGCGUAAAGCGCACGUAGGCGGGUCGAUAAGUCGGGGGUGAAAUCCUGGAGCUCAACUCCAGAACUGCCUUCGAAACUGUCGAUCUUGAGUUCGGGAGAGGUGAGUGGAACUGCGAGUGUAGAGGUGAAAUUCGUAGAUAUUCGCAAGAACACCAGUGGCGAAGGCGGCUCACUGGCCCGAUAC
rnacentral:rRNA from 1 species